CCUACGGGAGGCAGCAGUGAGGAAUAUUGGUCAAUGGACGAGAGUCUGAACCAGCCAAGUAGCGUGAAGGAUGACUGCCCUAUGGGUUGUAAACUUCUUUUAUAAAGGAAUAAAACGAGGCACGUGUGCCUCUUUGCAUGUACUUUAUGAAUAAGGAUCGGCUAACUCCGUGCCAGCAGCCGAGGUAAUACGGAGGAUCCGAGCGUUAUCCGGAUUUAUUGUGUUUAAUGGGAGCGUAGAUGGGUUGUUAAGUCAGUUGUGAAAGUUUGCGGCUCAACCGUAAAAUGGCAAUUGAUACUGGGAGACUUGAGUACAGGUGGGGUAGGCGGAAUUCGUGGUGUAGCGGUGAAAUGCUUAGAUAUCACGAAGAACCCCGAUGGCGAAGGCAGCUUACUAAACUGUAACUGACAUUGAUGCUCGAAGGUGUGGGUAUCGAACGGGAUUAGAUACCCUGGUAGUC
rnacentral:rRNA from 1 species